GAGGGAAGAAGCAGGAGAGAAGUUAGGAAGCUGUUUUGUAGUUAGUUGGGCAAUCUGCAAACCUCAGGGUGAUGCUACUUCAUGGUCAGUUAAUGAUUUCAAAGUUUUAUCUUUGAGUGUUCAGAAUAUACAGAUCUUGUUUAUUUUAUUCCCAUUGGGUUUUUCUACCAGCAGGUAAAAGGAAAAUCAGCUGGAACUUCAAUCAACCAAUGUUACCAUAAACAAAAGAAGAACUUACAUAUUUGGGGUUAAUAUGUGAAGAACUCAUAGGUUUUAUGACCAACAAUAUAUUGCAAUCCAAGGGAAAAAAUGGAAGCAUUAUGAGCCAUUUUCAAAGGCUGUCUCACAAAAUGCACGCUGUAAUUACUGGACUGAAGAGAAUGAUUCCUUUCUGAUAUGACAAGGUUCCUGAUUCCAGGAGAUGAUUCCAAAAGUGAAUUUUCCACACUGAAUGGCUUUGUCCCUUCUUUUGGAGGGAAGAACAAGCACUUCCAAACUUGCAGCUUUUGGUUUUAUCUUUCCUUCCACACCCCACAUGCUCCAGCUAAGGUAAGUCUGCCACCACCCCAUUUUCACUAUGGGAUCUGUCCUGAGAGACUGCAGUGGACCAGGACCUUAGAAGGGACUGAGGUGAUACCGACUGAUAUUGCUACUUUGGCUCAGAUCUGGGGUCUGUGCCAACUCCCUGCAUGGUGCCCACAACCUUUUACCCCACAGCUCCCUCCAAAAAUCCCAGAUUGAUAUAAUGCAUUGCACCUUCAGGGCACUCCCAGCAGCUCAAGACCAAGAGGCCUAAGAUCUGAGGCCUUGCAAAGGGCGUAUGGCCAAAUGUCUUUCAUAGAUUUGAAAAUAAGUGACCUUUUGCCCCCUCCUGGCCUGGCCCUCCAUCUAUCUGUACUCAUAUUUUUGCCUGUGGAAUUAGUGGCUUCAGAAGAAGUAACCCGGUGCCAAAGAGUGGCAAUUCUGAGGGAGAGGGAAUCUGAUGAGGUUAUGGAAGAUUUAGCCUAAUAACAGGCCCAGGCCUACAGCCCAGAGGACUUUCUUUCUCUGACAUUCAGCAUGUUUUGUCCUACAAUAAGAAUAUUAAUAACUAACGGCUUAUAGUGCUUGCCCUGUGCCAGGCGAUCUUCUAAAUUCUUCACAUACAUUAACUCAGUCCUGUUAACCCCGACACUACUGAGAGAUUUAUGAGGGAGCAAAACCCCAAUUCUGUAAUCUCACCCAUGUGUCACUUCGCAAGCAAUCCAACUGUUUCUAAUUCUGUGUCGAAGUAUAAGACUACUGUAACAAUCUCUACUGGUUGUUCUCCUUGGCCUUUCUGUAGGACAACUCCCAUCCAAACUGGCCCCAGAGUUAGCCUGGUCUUGACUCUCUAUUGAAUGUUGACUCAGCUGCAGCCCUGGAUGCCCCCCUGCCACUGCCUUCCCCACUUAGAGGGCACCCUAUACACCUUUAGUGUUCACAUCAUGCCCACACUCAGCUAUGUUUGGCCAUUAGAGUAGAAUGUCCAUUACCUCUGAUCUAUAUGAUGAUGCAUUUCUGAUAAAGCAGAACACUAUAAAAAAUUUCCGACAAUUCCACACAGUAACUUUUCAAAAUGUAACUUCAGCAUAUUGGCCCUGUACUUCAUUGCUAGAAAAAAUAAAUACAUUAAAAACAUCUAUUUCCUUUAUUAUCCUUGACAGAUAUUUCAAAAGUCCUCUUCUAUUGCCUUAGAACUCCUCUUUGGAGCCCUUCUUCAUUCAAUUCAAAUAAAGUCAUGACAGUAUACCCCAGGAGGUCAUCUGUCUCACGUAACUAGCAACCUGGAUGUAAUUUUAAGCUCAGCUGGGAAUCUCCAUGUACAGAAAUAUUUAUUAGUUGGCUGACUGGAAAUAGUGAUGUGUUACAUAGAUGAAGUGUCCAUUUCUUUCCUCUGAGUGGACAGCCUAUAGCUUACUUAAACAUAGCACUUCUGUUCUGUCUCCUUUGUCCUUUCUAACAUAAGCUGCUUCUCUGUUAUGCAUACAGUUUUAGUUUUCCACACACAGAGAUACAUUCCCUCUUCA